UGACCGAGCCGAUAAUCAACAAGCAAAACAGCGAUGAUGUAACCCAUAAUGUGUAUUGUAAGUACCAUGUCUGUUUAAAAAUAGUUUAAAAUAAAAAAAUGUUGAUGAUAUGAAUAUGUAUAACGCAUGUAUCGAUAUAUCAUGCAAGUUUCACCAGAGCUAGUCAGCCCGACAAUUAUACCAUACAGCCAUAACGGAGACCCCGGACAAUCUGCAGAAUUAUCCGGUCUUACGGAGCUUACACAGCGAGUGGGCCGGGCUCCAUACCUAGAACAAUUAUUAUCGCGAGACACGGCGUGGGAUGAUUUGCUGAAACGUACGACUGUGGAUGACGUGGAGGGAGAAGCGCCUGGAUCCAAUAAACGUUUUAAACCAGCGAACGCGGGGGGCGCAGUGGUGGCUGACGCCCAAAUACAUGAACAAGUCUUCAACACAGACGGUGGAGGAUUGGCGCAGCUGUUUGAUGACAACUACCGCUGGUCUGAUGCAGAUGUAACAUUAUGGGACCAAGUAGUGUUUGGCGGUGAAUCGGGGUACUGCACGCCCGAGCCAAUACCUGUGGAUGGUGGUCAAACACCCGCCGAAGAGAGGACAACCGACGUUGUGAUAUCUGCCCCUGCGACAGACGUGGAUGUAGUGAGCAAUCAGAACUGUGCUAUUGGACUGUUGACAUCCACACCAACUAAUCAUACACCAGUGACGACACGCCAACCCCCGGAUAUACAGCCCCCAACCACGGCCCUCAGGUAUGCGCGGGGUACUACUACCAAUGCUAAUGUGGUUAAUACAUGCAGUGUAGAUAAUACUAAUCAGCUGCAUAGACAAUUAGUGGCUCGUGUGAAUUAUUUAACCCAUCAAGCACGUAACGAUAGAAUUGCUAGAGCUAGUUUGGAUAGUGAGCUGAGCGCCGUAAAGGCUUUACUGACAACAUUAGUUGAUGAUGUAGGCGUUGUGAAGGCGAACCUGGUGAAUCAGAAUGUAGAUGUGAAAAGUAUGGUCUCGCUUAUCAGAGAACUUCAUAAUAUAGGGACCGUGGAUUGGAAUGCUAUGGGUCGAGCCAUACUAGGUUUUGAAAGAGACUCUACGGCUGUAAUAUGAUAUAUAUGGCUAUGUGUUGAUACAUGUUUAUUUCCUCACAGCUACCAGGUCAUACCUCAAUGUGCAUAUGGCUAUGUGUUUUUCCCCCUCUUAUUGUGUUUGCUUUUAUUACUUGUAAUGAUUUUAUACAAUUAGGAUGGUAUAGUGGAUCGUAUGUUUUAUUAUUUUUAUCCCUGCUGUAAUAGAGUGUAUUGCAGUGUGUGUGUGUGUGUGUGUGUGUGUGUGUGUGUGUGUGUGUGUGUGUGUGUGUGUGUGUGUGUGUGUGUGUGUGUGUGUGUGUGUGUGUGUGUGUGUGUGUGUGUGUGUGUGUGUGGGAUAUCCCCCAUUUAAACUGUUUAAUAAGGGUUAUACUUUUUAAAUACCCGGUCUGUUGUCAGAUUAUUGGGUAGAGAUCAUCAGUAUGUUUUAAAUGGUGGCGUGUUGA
rnacentral:lncRNA from 1 species